rnacentral:rRNA from 1 species
AACGAACGCUGGCGGCAUGCCUAACACAUGCAAGUCGAACGAAGGCUUCGGCCUUAGUGGCGCACGGGUGCGUAACGCGUGGGAAUCUGCCCCUUGGUUCGGAAUAAAAGUGAGAAAUUACUGCUAAUACCGGAUGACGACGAAAGUCCAAAGAUUUAUCGCCGAGGGAUGAGCCCGCGUAGGUUUAGCUAGUUGGUGGGGUAAAGGCCUACCAAGGCGACGAUCCUUAGCUGGUCUGAGAGGAUGAUCAGCCACACUGGGACUGUGACACGGCCCAGACUCCUACGGGAGGCAGCAGUGGGGAAUAUUGGACAAGUGGCGAAAGCCUGAGCCAGCAAUGCCGCGUGAGUGAUGAAGGCCUUAGGGUUGUAAAGCUCUUUUACCCGGGAUGAUAAUGACGGUAGGUGGCGAAUAAGCCUCGGCUAACUACGUGCCAGCCGCCGCGGUAAAAC